GCCGGGGUGGCGGAACUGGCAGACGCAUCGGACUUAAAAUCCGGUGAGCUCAAAAAGCUCGUACCGGUUCGAUUCCGGUCCCCGGCACCA
rnacentral:tRNA from 1 species